CGCGCCCGCGGGGUGGGAUUUCCUCCCGGGCCGCCGCCGCCGCCGGGUCCUGCCCGUCCUGCCGGCCCCGCCCGCCCGGCCCCGGGGAGGGAUGCGGCGGCGCGGCACCCAGGAUGCCCCGCAGCCCCGGGACGCGCCUCAAACCCGCCAAGUACAUCCCGGUGGCCACGGCGGCCGCGCUGCUGGUCGGCUCCAGCACCCUGUUCUUCGUAUUCACGUGCCCAUGGUUGACACGCGCCGUGUCCCCAGCCGUCCCCGUCUACAAUGGCAUCCUCUUCCUCUUUGUCCUGGCCAACUUCAGCAUGGCCACCUUCAUGGACCCUGGCGUCUUCCCCCGAGCGGAUGAGGACGAGGACAAGGAGGAUGACUUCCGGGCCCCGCUGUACAAGAACGUGGAUGUGCGGGGCAUCCAGGUCCGAAUGAAGUGGUGCGCCACCUGCCACUUCUACCGCCCGCCGCGGUGCUCCCACUGCAGCGUCUGCGACAACUGCGUGGAGGACUUCGACCACCACUGCCCCUGGGUCAACAACUGCAUCGGGCGCCGCAACUACCGCUAUUUCUUCCUGUUCCUGCUGUCGCUCAGCGCGCACAUGGUGGGCGUCGUCGCCUUCGGGCUGGUCUACGUGCUGAACCACGCGGAGGGGCUGGGCGCCGCCCACACCACCAUCACCAUGGCCGUCAUGUGUGUGGCUGGCCUCUUCUUCAUCCCCGUCGUCGGCCUCACGGGCUUCCACGUGGUGCUGGUCACUCGGGGCCGCACCACCAAUGAGCAGGUGACAGGGAAGUUCCGUGGGGGCGUGAACCCCUUCACCCGCGGCUGCUACGGGAACGUGGAGCAUGUGCUGUGCAGCCCCCUGGCGCCCCGGUAUGUGGUGGAGCCGCCCCGGCUGCCGCUGGCUGCUCGCCUGAAGCCGCCCUUCCUUCGGCCGGAGCUCCUGGAGCGAGCGCCACCGCUCAAGGUCAAGCUUAGUGACAAUGGGCUGAAGGCUGGCCUGGGCCGCAGCAAGUCCAAGGGCAGCCUGGACCGGCUGGAUGAGAAGCCCCUGGACCUGGGGCCACCACUGCCCCCUAAGGUGGAGGCCGGCACGUUUGGCAGCGACCUGCAGACCCCGCGCCCGGGCAGUGCUGAGAGCGCCCUGUCGGCGCAGAGGACCAGUCCCCCGACACCUGCCAUGUACAAGUUCCGGCCCGCCUUUCCCACGGGUCCCAAGGCGCCAUUCUGCGGGCCGGCUGAGCAGGUCACGGGCACCGACUCCCUGACACUGGGGGAGGACAGCAUCCACAGCCUGGACUUUGCAUCGGAGCCCAGCCUGGACCUGCCCGACUACCCGCCCCUCAGCGCGGCCGACACCUUCUCAGGCGCCCUGCGCUCCCUGAGCCUCAAGGCGGCCAGUCGGCGGGGCGGGGACCACGUGGCCCUGCAGCCCCUGCGCUCUGAGGGUGGGCCCCCCACGCCCCACCGCAGCCUCUUUGCCCCCCACGCGCUGCCCAACCGCAACGGCAGCCUGUCCUACGAUAGCCUGCUGAACCCCGGCUCCCCCGGGGGCCACGCCUGCCCGGCCCAUCCCACAGCCGGCGCCCCUGGCUACCGCUCACCCUACCUGCACGCGGGGGUGCCAGGUGACCCGCCACGGCCGCCGCCCCGCAGCUUCAGCCCGGUGCUGGGCCCGAGGCCGCGGGAGCCCUCGCCAGUGCGCUAUGACAACCUGUCCCGGACCAUCAUGGCCUCCAUCCAGGAGCGCAAGGACAGGGAGGAGCGGGAGCGGCUGCUGCGUUCUCAGGCCGACUCGCUCUUUGGCGACUCGGGUGUCUAUGACACACCCAGCUCCUACAGCCUGCAGCAGGCCGGCGUGCUGUCCGAGGGCCCCCGCGGCCCCGGGCUGCGCUGCGGCUCCCGGGAUGACCUGGUGGCCGGGCCCGGCUUUGGGGGCGCCCGCAACCCUGCGCUGCAGACAUCACUGUCCUCGCUGUCCAGUGCGGUGAGCCGGGCACCACGGACCUCCUCCUCCUCCCUGCAGGCAGACUUGGCCAGUAGCGGCGGCCCAGGGGCCCGGCCCGCCAGUGGCCCACACAGGUCGCCAGCGCACCAGGUGCCCCCAUCCCCACCUGGCACCCCCUGCUCGCCCUCCUAUGCUGGCCCCAAGGCCGUCGCCUUCAUCCACGCAGACCUCCCGGAACCACCGCCCUCGCUGGCUGUGCAGAGGGACCACCCUCAGCUGAAGACCCCCCCAAGUAAGCUUAAUGGGCAGUCCCCGGGUCUGACCCGCUUGGGGCCGGCCCCCGGCCCCCCGGGGCCCUCCGCCAGCCCCGCCCGGCACACGCUGGUUAAGAAGGUGUCCGGCGUGGGUGGGACCACAUACGAGAUCUCGGUGUGAGGACCGACUGCCCCCCCGUCGCCGAGCGCCAUGGGAACCACGACCCCCCGCGGCCACCCCUCCUGGCUUCUCUGCCCCUGGAGAGGAGGCCCAGGCCUGGCGCAGACGCCUCAGCGAGGAAAGCCACGCCUCUGCGGCCCGUCCCUCGUCCUCGGCCGCCCGUCCGCACCUGCUCACCAGGCGCCGCGGGGCUGCAGGCCUGCGUGGUGGUGGUCCUGCUCCCGUGAGCUGGGGCGGCGAGGGGCACAGAGCGCUCCUGUGCCCCUGAGGUUGUCACCCGUCCGGCCCUAACCGCUUCCCUUCCGCGCGGGUCCCCAUGGCCCAGAGACGGACAGAGAGGCCUGAGCCCCUGGCCAAGGGCCCUGCCACCCGGCUGCCCCGACCCCUUGCCUUUCAGGGACCUGCUGCAAGCUUGUAGCUUGGCACGGCCAGUUCUCCCGCAGGGAGCACGGGCCCAGCCCACAGGCACCCAGCUAUUCUGAUGGACAGGUGGACAAAUGGACAGACGGACAGACAGCCAGCUGUGGGUGGGGUCCUGGCUCCGUGUGUCUCGUCUCGCCCCCGCUGGUGGGCGCGUCCCCACGUCUGUGCUCUGAGCUGCCAUGCCGUGUCCCACGUGUCAACGCUCGGGCCCCUGCCGUCCCCCUCCCCCGUCCCGCCUGGAAACGCGCUUUAAUUGAAGCCUUAACCUCUGCUUUAUGCUCUUGUGGGAGGCGACGGGGUCUGGGGUAGCAGACAGGAGGCCUGACACCACCCCUCGGGGCCCAGGCCACCCCGUGCCCCCUCCCUGCAAACUGGAGACCCCCACCCAAGGCACGCAAAGCCCAGGCCCCGCUGGAGCCUGGGGCCCACGUGGGAAGCACAUCGGGAGGGCUCGGAGUUUCGUCUGGUGCCAGGGACCCGAGAGGGCUGGAUCGGCACCUGCAGCCGUGGAUGGGGGCGGCGCGGCCAGCCCUGGGCGCCCCCCAGCCUACACCUGUGCCACUUCGGCCUCCCAGAGGACCACCCGCCGCUGCGGGCCCCCUGGAGCCCAGCCCCAGGGGCG